CCCUAUGGGGCGCCGCAGGCCGAACUACCGGAUGCUUUUGUUAUCGGUACCGGUGAGACGCAUUCUGUCCGGGAGUUCCUGGAGGCCACGUUUGCUUACGUGGAUCUCGACAUGGACAAGUACGUGAAGAUUGAUCCCAGGUAUUUCCGGCCGACCGAAGUGGAUGUACUCAUCGGAGAUGCAGGAAAAGCAGGGCGCGUUCUUAACUGGAAACCAGAUGUGAAAUUCUCCGAUCUGGUCAAGAUUAUGCUGGAUUCCGAUAUCCGUGCGGCGGGUCUUGAAGCGCCGGGCGAAGGGGAUGCCAUUAUCGCAAAGAAAUUCCCGCACAAGGGGUGGAAAGGCGAUUAGGAAUCGUUUGGGUGAACCGGCCGUGAGAGUUGCGAUCUUCCAUGAUGAUUGCGGUGCGAUUGGCGGGAGAGC
rnacentral:rRNA from 1 species